GGCUCAAUGGUCUAGUGGUAUGAUUCUCGCUUUGGGUGCGAGAGGUCCUGAGUUCACUUCUCAGUUGAGCCC
rnacentral:tRNA from 1 species